CUCUGAGGGAAAAAAAAAAAAAGAAGAAAAAAAGCCAUGAAUGAUUCAUAGAUGCAAGGGGGGAAAAAGACGAAGAGAGAGAGGGAGAGAAAGAGAGAUUAAGAGAGAGAAGCUUCAAAGUGACUGGAGCGGAUUUGAAGUCCUGAGCGUUCCUGUGCUGGGCAGGCCAGCAAUUCACCAGAGAGACCCCGUCAAGCUCCCCCCAUCCUUCGCCCUGGCCUCAUCCCUGCUGCCUCCUCCUCCUCCUCCUCACCGCAACGCAGCCUCCCAGUCGCAGGUUCAAAGUUCAGCAGCAUCUAAUGAUGGGAAGGCCUCCCAAACCCUCUAAAAAUUCGGGCAUUUCAGAACUUGGUUCUGCUGUGACCAGAAUUAAGGAGUAUCCUCUUCCAGAUAAGAGCACUGAAAUUUGCCUGGGAUUUGCACUUGCUCUAGCUGGAAGAGGAAUGGCCAAGCCUGAGUGUCUUACUCCAAGUAGGUAGUUAACUGUUGAACAGAAUCAGCAAUGGCAUCAAUAUACACACCAUGGAAGCUGGUUAAGCUCUGGGAAAAAGAGGGGUUCCAUUCAGAUUAAAAGCUUCUUACCCAUUUGAUCAAGUGAGAACAGAGCCAUGACCACCUCCUCCAUGGCUAAUGCCCUUCCCACCAUACUUUUUUUCUGUUAGUCUGUUCAGUUCAUUAACACAGCAAAGUUCAAUUAGGCAAGUUUAUUUUUGGCCUGAACUUUGCUUGGUAAUUCCUGCUUCUAUUUCAGUCUUGAAAAAGCUUUUGACUCCUAGAGCCUCCUUGUCUUGCCCAAAGGUGUCAGGCUCUUUUUUUUCUAACUUUGUUUGCAAUGGCUUGGAGCAAGAGUGUGUGAAUCUGUUCCUAUUACAGCACCAGUUUAAGAAAUCUCUAUCUACUAGAUAGAUACCUAUGCACCAUAGGGAGAGACAGUCUGGACCCAGAUUAGCUUGUUUUUCCCCCACCCACCUCCUUAAAAUUACAAUGGAAUCUUACAAAUAUUUAAACCUGAAUCCAAUGGGAAGAGAUAAGGGAUUAGAUGGUUCAGGAGCAGUGCUUCCCUCUCCUCUUCCUUCUUGUUCUAUCAUGUGUGGGGUAGGAAGAAUAAAUCCCGCUUCUCUCCUUGGUCUUACACCUUGACCAGCUCUGUGGGGAGCAUGACUGGGUUGUAACGGAAUGGAUGGAAUGAAUGAGUUUGGUGCCAGCUUGGGUGGGGAUUUGAGCAACCUGGUAUAGAGGAAAUGUCCCUGCAUAUGGCAGGGGAGGAAGAAGAUGACCUUUAAGGUCAUUUCCAACACAAACCAUUCUGUAAUCCACAGAAUCAUAGAAUCCCAGAAUUAUAGGAGUUGGAAGGGACCUCUGAAGUCCAAUUCCAUCUGCCUGCUCGAGCAUGUUUGAUGAUUCUAUGAAUGCCCAUGGAGGACAUAGGAGGAGCAGUGGAAUAAAGUCCUCGUUGUCAGCCGUGGUGGAGUUUGCUGACCAUGCUGACAAUUCCUCCUCUUCCCAAAUGUCACUGUCACUGUUGCACUUCUGAGCUGAUGUUUUGGUAUUUGUCUGACUAAAGACUUUCCAACCUCCAACCUGUAGAGGCUUUCUUGGCCUCUACACUGGGACUGAUUAUUUAUUUGUUACCAGCCUCGUGGAGGGCAAGUUUCAUUCUGAACCAUGAAAACCUGCUGUUCAGUAGAGUUCAGGGUCAAUAAUACUAAUUCUCAUCCCAAACACCACUACCAUCAUUGGCAUUAGAUCAGAAAUGCCUGUGUCUUGGAUGAAUACAGUGUUAAAUCUGACUCAUCAGAUCUGGAUUAGAGCACCAACACAUCAUCUUUCAGUCAUUUUGUAUUUUCCUACUGGGCCCUUGUGUCUCCUGCACAAUCCUUCUCUCAUCCCAAUUCCUUCCAUCAUCUUGUCCAGCUGCAGCCAUCCAAGCACCUCACGUAGGCAUCUGUUGGUGGCCAGAAGCAGGCAAGAGGAAGCUGCAAUUAGGAGCUGGAGGUGAAAAUUGCUCAGAGCCAACAAAGCUCACCCUGGCACGUAUGAUUGCACUCCAAAGGUACUUGCACAGAGCAAGCCAGUGAUGAAGAAACAUAGACUACGUAGUUUAAAAAGCUCCCAGCCCAGAGUCAGCAUUUCUACCCUGACCUGCCUCAUGUAUUAUUUAGCACGGACUUGUUGAUGCGCACUUAUAUUUUUUUCCCUGUGGAGUUGAUGAUCUUCCUUCCCCUUAACAGCCUUGCCGCUCUCUCUCUGCACAGACGCCAUCAUCAGUGGGCUGUGGAUGGACCAGGGCUGGGCAAGUGCUCACCACUGGGGUUAAAGAAUGCAGGGUUAGAGGAUGGGCACCAUGGCCAUACCGGCACUGGCAAAGGUAGGGGAAUGAAGUGUGCGGCAGAGAUGGGAGAGGGGUCUAUGAAAGAAAGAGGAGUGGGAGAAGUGCAGUUGGAAGUGAGUGGUGUUAAUGAAAUAUUCAGCAGUGGUGGGCCUAGACGCAUUGCCGAAAUUGCAGAAGCAGAGAUGAUUAAUAUUUAACAGGGUAAGCUGCCACUUGGCUGCUUUCUGCACAUAGAUUCCACCCCCACGUACACACACACCACCUCCCUCCGACUUCCCACCCUCUGGCUCCCCCAAACUCCGUCUUCUGCCACUCUUCUCUGACUCAAGCCAAUGGCUUCUACCACCGUGCUCUGCUUGGGGGAGGUUCUCAGACCCUCCAUGAGGUCUGCACAAGGGAGAUCAGGUCCAAGGGCUGCCUGGUGGGAAAAGUGCCAGGACGGGGGGAAGGUAGUCGAGAGAAAGCACAUCAUUUAUUUUUCAUGUGGAUGGGAGAGCAGGUUGUCCUAUUUAGUCACAUUAGAUGCUCUGUUAACACAACAGGAAGAAAAAAAAAGAAAUGGAAAGGAUGGAUUAAUGCUUGCAGCAGAAGGAGACUGCUCUCUGGUUCUCUGGGCAAACAGGAACUGGUCUUUCAGGGGGUUAAGUGUUUUGGCUCCAGUUGUGUCUCCCACGGGGUGACCCAUGUAGGUGAUGGACAGCUGAGAAAGGGAAUGUGCAAGGCUCUUCAUCAGCUGGUUUGGUGCAGGUGGAAUGGCCCUAGUGUGGACUGAUAUUGGGUAUACAACCACCCACCCCUUCAUCUGCAGGGAUAGGUGAUUCCCUGCAAACUCUCCUCAUGAACAUCUGCACAGUUUCCUUCUGGUCAUUUUGCAAACCCUCCUGAAACUCUUCUCUGCUUGGACACCUCAGGAGAUGUGACAGUGGUUGUACUGUUAGUGUGCUCAACAAGGUGUCGCUGCAUUUUGAGCUUUUUAGAAAUCAGUGUCCUUCCAUCUGCUGCCUUCUGUUGUGCGUUUAGGGAGGUGCUGUUCAAUCUAGGAGUCAUCUCUGUGUUCAGGAUCUUUGACGCCCUUGGUACAGAUAAGUCUUAGCCCAUUUGUGCAACCUCAGUGCUGUAAAUCAACUGAUUUAUUUAAAAAAAAAAAUUACAAGAAUAUUUGUGGUCCAGCUACUUUCUGGGGUCAUUAAUAUGAAAAUGACUUGGAGUAAAUGAGUGUAUUAAGUUGCAGCUGGGACUUGGAAAGAUGUAACAAGUCUGAGUCAAUACAGACGAGAUUUCUGAGAGCAGGCUCGUGUCCCAGGUUCUGCAGAUAUACUCAGUGAGUGAACACAAAUCAUGGGACAGGUACACAGGCUCUGUACAAAUCACAGCUUCUUUAAGAACAAAGUAUGUUGUGGAAAAUCUGGUCUUAUCUAGCUCUGUCCAUGAAAUCAGGGAGGAGUGUCCCACUAGAAAGGAAACCAGAAUGUUUCAGUGAAUUUUGAGAAGCUGAAGAAAACUAAAUGAGGGUAUGAGGAAAAUCAGAGUACGUAUUUUCUUUCUCCCUGUAUGUUGGUCUGUAUCUGAAAUGUUAAAAACACUGAAGCAAGAUCUUGAAGCCUUCUGCUUGGCUUCAGUUCCAGGACCAGUUUUCAGGUAUUUGAGCCAAUUAAGCAUCAUCAUGUAGUCCACUGCCUUCACUCUUCAGCUGAAGGCAGAGCAGCAGCAUACUGGAGGAGCUCUCGCGUGCUUCAGUGAAAUGACCAUCUUUUCCCAUGCAUAUCAGGAUGUGACCCAAAGGAGAGAAUGGAAGGUGCACUGGGGAUGCAGGUAGCAGUUCCAAAAAUGGAAGCAAGGGUUCAUAUCUUACAGAGACAGAAUCAACCACUGGACAGAAAGGAAAUCAUAGACAAUGUGGCUGCUUGAUUAAAUAUACAGUUUAAAGGAAGAGGAGUCAAGGUUGUUGAAGAAAUAGAAUAGGAUGGCCAUUUGCUUGAUGUUCCCCAUGCCUGAUGGCUGUACCCACUCAUCCCUUCUGCUGCCAUGCCAUGGCAAGGAUUAAUGGGCAUGGAUGUAGAACGUGAAAACCGGAUGCAGGCAGAAGCCAGGCCAUCUGUGGCAGGAGGAGGAACCCCUGUUGAACGUCCCAGAACUAGUGAGAACAGACAACUUGAUUUCUAUUGUGUAAGUGGGGAUUUGUCCGCAACGGUACAGUAACAACUAGAAUUAGAAAGGAAGAAAGAGUGAAUUCUUCUUUCAUCCCAAGUGUGUUCCCUCCAGGGCAAAGGUCAAGUGCAUUGUGUGGCCGUGUUUGGAUUCAGAAUAAAAUAAGUGACAAAGGCGAGAACCUGGGGCACGCACAGGGACUGAAUAAAGAGAAGUGUGGGCUAGACACCAGAAACCACUCUCUCACCCUAGGGGUCAUUAACAUGUGCAAUAGGUGACCUCAUGACAUGGUGCGGGGGCAAUAGAGACACUAAUGUGAGUCAUUUAUAUGCUGGCUUGAGUGUAUUCAGCUAUCGAUAACAGCAUUUUUCUGAGCAUAGUGACCAGCUCCUCUGGUAAAAUGGAGAUUGUCCCACUUGCUCAUGCAGUAUGCCAGCAGUUACUCUCAGCUGCUCAGAUGUCUUCCCUGUUUCUCCAUAGGAGAAAAAAGAAAAAACAAAAAUAAAAAAAAAAAGGCAGUGCACAGAUUGUCUCCCUGUUCUGUACAGAAUCUGUAGACAGAGUCCAUUCUGUGCUUUCUAGAGAAAAGGCUAGGCAAAGGCUUCAGCAUAAAGCAUGAAGUGCUGAUGGAGGUGAAGUUUGUCCAAAGCUUUUUUAGAGAGAGAACUUACUGACCUAGUAAAACUCUGGUAAAUGGAGCAGGAUGGAGGCCUCAGAAAACUCAUCUUUUGUUUUGAAGGUUGUAAACCCCUUGCAGGUAAACAUCUGUCUUACCAUUCCUCAGCAUCUCCCUUGCCCACCUCCUUUGCCCUGACUAGCUCAAUGCUGGCUGAUUCGCCUUUAGCUUGUUGUCUGACUUGACACCAAAGUAGGAUGCUGCACUGCACAGACCUCAUUUUCUUGGCUAAGGGUGGUUGAGCUGGCUCCUGGCAUAACAGAAACAGUUGUGGAAGAGGUGAGGGUAGGUGUUGUUUAAUUCAUGAGAGAGUUUCAGGCUGCACUACAUAUAGAAUAAUGUAUACAUAUAGAAACUCUACAGUGGUGCAAGGUCCUUAUGUCCUUAGUCCUAUCCUCCAGCAUCUCCAUCAUCAGCAAGGAAGCUCUCAAAUGCCACCUUUUGGCCUUCUGAAAUAGAUCAGCUGGACCCCACUUUGUCUGAAAUGAAAUCUCCACCAGGGGAUGGCUGGUAUGUCCCUCUUUUCAGCUGGAACAAGGUAAGAGACUGAGCCUCCCUGUUUAAAGAAGUGCUGGUCAGAGAAAUGAGCAUAUACCCUGAAUUGAAGGCUAGCCCCAGCAAUACCCACCUCGUAAGCACACUUUGGGUAUGGAGAAUUUGCAUCGUUGCAGGCAUUUCUGCAAUAAGCCUGCUAGUUUAUCCUAGUUCUGUGAACAACUGUUGCCUGCAUCGUAGUGCCUUCUCUGUGUGCAUGCACAUCUCCCUGCUCCACCACAGUAACAGCUAAUCCCACAGGCCAAUGUAACAAAUUUGGCAGGAAUAUACAGAUCUCAGUGACGCUGUGAUCCUGAACAUUUCAUGGAAAAUAAAGAAACUGAUCUCAUGAGCUUAUUGAACGAGGGUCUGUUGUCUCAGGCCAGCACUCAUCAGGCACCUGAAAAUCUGCCCAGCUGAGGUCCUGAAUGCCCCAAAUGCCUGCCCCUUAAUUAUAUAUAAGAGACUCCUGCCACACAAUGCCAACUCAUUGUGGAGCAAUAUUCAUUUAGCUGGUGGCCCAUCAAGUGUUUGGUGAUCCUCCAGGAUGAAGCACUUGUCCUGUGUGCAGCUUCAGUACAAAAUCAAGUCUUCUCCUCUACUUGCUAAGAAGAAGAUGCAUGAGUGGAGGAAAAUAUUGUGAUGCUGAACAGAAGAGCAACUAUUUUCUGUCCUGUCCUGAGUUUUAGUGCUUAGAGUGAAAUUUACUACCAUAAAACGCAAUGAAGAGCUUCUGUAGUACUAUGACACAGCUUCAGGCUUGACCAAAAGAGUUCCUUAGACUACUGACUGAUUUCAUUUAUUUAUUAGCCAAGGGCUCCUUUGAGGUCCUAUCAUCUCAUUCUCAACUGAAUUUCAGAUAACCUUUCUUCGAGCUUAGACUCUUUGUAGCUGGCCAGUUUUAAAGAUUGGUUUGAGCUGCAGACUUCAGAUUUGAAGCUGGAUCUGGGUUUGGGAUUUUGGUUCUGACCUAUUUCAUUCUGUGAUACAGCUGCUCUCAGAAGACUUGGGAUGUUCUUGGGAAAGUUAAUUUCAAAAUUAUAGGAAUAAAUGAUGUCAGAUGGCUUUACUCACUUGCUUUGGAUCUCCACAAAUACUAGAUCUCUGGACUGUUGAGUGUGGGUUGAAGAAAAUAAAAUUCUGCCCAGCAGUUUCAUCUUUGAUGGUUAUGAUAGAAAUGCAGCCCCAGAGGGGCUUGAUCUUUGCCCUGAUAUCAAGAUUUUUUCACGGUGCAUUGGAAAAGGCUUCUUGGAGGUCUUGAUAGAAACUGUGGAGAAAAGCUAUCAAGAAUUGCCAUACUAACUCCCCCUGCCUCGGCAAAGGUGCUGCAGGGUGAACUGUUUGGAAACAAUUAACGUGCUCUUAUACCAACAUGACCUUUGAGAGUGCCAAGCAUCUUCUAUGGGGCCUGUAACUCAAGCAUUAAUAAUGGAUUACCAAAAGCAACCAGCUGCAAGGGAACCACUUCUCCCUGCUUAGAUAAUUCUCCUCCCAGAGAAAAGCUAUUGAUUUUGAUACUGAUUCCUUCCUCCCUCGUGAAAGGGCUACACCCCACCAUUGCUAUCUGUGACAGUGAGCUCUCUCCUGAUCUACACACACCAUACACAUCAGCCACGUUCCUCUACACCAGCAGUAGAGACACCCCUCCAACACGACCGAGACUGCUGCUAAAAGCAAUGUGCGCUUCUAUUUUCUCACCAGAUGAUUCAGUCAGCUUUGCACUUCAGCAGCUGUUUCCCACUAGUCUGCAACAAGUAGCAUCUCUGAGCACUGUGGAACUGGUUAGACCCACAUCAACUUUGCAGCAUAAAAGCACAAAGAGCACAAAGAGUAUGGAUGAAAAUCAGCUUGGAUGAUGCAAGCUGGAUUGUGCAAGCACCCUCAUCUGCUUGUUCUCUUGUAUCACUUCCUUCAUCCUUUCUGCUCUAAGUCCAUGUUUGUGUUUUACUAUUUGUGUUGGAAGUGGUCCUGGGAAACUGAUCUAACUGGCUGUGUUUGAGCAGAAGGAUUGGACCAGAUGACACAGAGGACCCUUCCCAUCUCAGCCAUACUGUUCCAGUUGCUGGAUUUGAGAUGGAGUUCUGAGUACCUUUAUGACUUGCUAAAGCUACAGUCUCUGCAGGGGAUGGAAGGAAAAAGAGGACCUUGAGCUUGUUUACAUCUUAGUUUUAUGGACAGAACUGAAAACUGGUUUCUGUUUGGUCUUAGGCCAGUCAGAAACAGGAAUCACUUGUAAGUUUCUGUAAACAGAAAUCUUAUUUUUGUCUGUUUUACAGAGGAAAGCAGGGAAGGGAGGAGGAGAAUGGAAGGUAUGCCAUCACAGUGUGUGUGUUUGUCACUUACCUUUACACCCAGUGGUACACAAACUUGUUGGCCACCUUCAACUAUGUUUUAAAUGUGGUUGGUAGAAGUGGUCUGAAAGAUAUAAUGAAAUAAAGCAAUUGGAUGCAGCACCACAAGCCCACCAACAGACUGAGAUAAGGCAAGCCUGCAGCAUGUGUUCAACCUUAAUGAGACACUGGAGAAUCCAGUUGCUGGGUGUGGGGCAGCUUCAACUCUGAGUUCACACUGCACCAGACAUCAGAGAAGCCAACUACAAGAGGCAAAUCUCUGGGGAAUUGGGGUUCAUUAGUAUCUCUGCUUGUGGAGUAACUUGUUUUCUUGGAGCAUCUUUCAUCUCUUUUCGGACACAAGAUGUGGAAACAAAGAGCUGGAUUCAUGGCAGGGCUUACAGUGCUACUACAGUAUGGUGGGAGCAAGGAUCCUCUUCCAGACAGCGUGCUGGAAUCCAGCAGGGACGAUAUCUGAGCUGUGGCUGUGUGGAUGGGUGCUGAGCCCUCAAGCUGGGUGAGGGAGGUGGUACUCAGACUGGAUAGGAAGAGAGGGCUUGUGAAUCAGUCCUGAGAAAUACCUGUAAACCCUCUUUUAUACCAGAAACCUCAAAAUGAGAUGCUGAGAGCAUGAACCUUCUUUCUGAGAAGAAUGGACCAAAACGAACAGCUGAAAUGAGUCCAUGUUGCAGGUAGAAAGGAAGCCCUGGAAUUUGCUGUUCUAAGGUAUAAAAACUAUUUUGACAAAAUAAACAUCCCCCUCCCCUCUGCAAUCUUAUCUGCUGCGAUCAUUCUGCCUCCCGGUGGACCCAUCCUCCACAGACAUGUCUUCAAAAAUGAAUUGUAUUCAAGUUCACUGUGAAGUUUCUUUAUGAUGGUACUGUAAAUGGACCAUAAAGCAACAAACCUAUGACCCUAAAUUCCAGAAUCUGCAAAAACUGCUCUUACUUGGCUCUUGUCCAUCUACUGAAGUGCCCAGCCGCGGGAUACUUGUAGCCAUGAGUACCGGCUCUCCGCAAGCCUGCCUGCUCACCAUGUAGCAGCAGGAUGCAGAGAGCCAGCUCAUGUCUGAAAUCCUUGCCUAGAGUCAGAUGGUAAGAUGGGAAAUCCAAUCAUUUUAUACCGGUCAGUGAGUGAACAUUGCUGAGCAUAUGGGUAAGUCAAUAAUUGGCUUUAAUUAAGUAAAAGUUCUUUCAUUAAUAUCUUUUUAAAUGGAUACGCUACAAAAUCUGCCUGGGGGAAAUCUCAGGGUUAGAAAAGCCUUAUGGUAUAUAUUGCUGCAAUAUAACUGAGUUAGGUUGAGAUACCAGCAGGGUGAGCAUAGGAGGGAAUGGGGGGAAUGUUUGGAAAGGCAGCAUGGAGUGAGACUCAUUAUCUGCUCUGGACUGAAAGGAACAAGAAUAUUAGCUUAACCUAAACCUGAGCAAGUCAAAUAGAUAUUUUUGAAGGUAAAAGUAUGGUCUGUGGAAGUCUUAUGGCUAAACCAGAUACUGAUUACUUAUGCUAUCCAUCUUACAUCACUCAUUGUGUCCUGCAGAUGGUGGAAGCACAGCUGAACCACAACAUUCCCAUCAAGUUCGAUUCAAAGCAUCCCACCCACGAGUUUCACCAUGGGCUGACCACUGACAUCUAUCAUUUGAAGCUACAAAACUUCACCCCCAGGCCCAGCUAACGUGCUUUGGAGGGUGUUGAGAUGGUAAACGCCUUUUCGUCUGAGCCAAGGCAAGAUUUCGGUUCAAUAUCAGCAAGUUGACAUGUGCUCCUGAGUGCCAAUGUCAAACCAAACAGCAAGUACCAUCCAAUCAUGCAUCUUAAGCAUGCAUCAGUGGCAUUUUCAGUCCAGUUCCACAUGAAGCAUAGACACAAGAAGAACAGACAUGUUGGUUUCUUCAGGUGAAAAGACAAGCACUGGAAGGAAGGGCCCUAUCCCCAAAGUGAGCUCAUACUCAGAAAGGUGCCAAGGGUUUGUGUAUUUCUAUGAGCAAUGUCUUCUGUUUUCAGGCUCCAUUUCCCUUCAGAUCCAAGUGGAAAAGGCUGCGUAAUCUUCAGACUGAAGCUUUUUAUGUUUUAAAGAGAAUGGUGUUAUAAAGUGUUGGCGGUCUCUUCCUCAGUAUUGGCUGUGACAGUCCAGGAGUGGAAGGCUUCUGAUUAACACAUUGUGCACGUAACCUGACAUGUUGCCCAGUUUUAAUAUGCUCUUUUAUCAGGUCAUGCUGUCCCUUUGAAGGUUCUUUGCAUAUUGCCAGAGCACAAUAUCUACAAACAACUCCUGCUUCUUCCCUUCUCAGUUACUUACACCCAUGUUGACAAUUUAAAUACUGCAUCGCGUGAUCACCCAUGAGUUUCUCUUUUGACUUGUCUUCUCAAAUUAAAAGCAAAACAAAGCUAAACAGGAGGCUUCUUCAAUGAGACUUACAACUACGGAAACAAUGACCAGCCAAAAUGAUAAAUCUGGCAUCUCCUCAUUCUUUAGCUGACUUUCACUUGCCUGAAUGCUAGGCUGGUGCUCACUGCAAUUUGCAUUACUGUAAGUAAGCAAAAUUCUUGCUUCAACUCAUUUGUUUAGUUCAAUUUCAAAAAUAUGAAUUUAAACAAACCAGGAAUGUUUAUUCCCAAAUGAGAGUUUGCAUAGGGCAAAAUAAUAGUGAGUAACAGUUUGAGCAGCAAUUGGGGCAAUUGUAUGCACCAUCAGAGCAUCUUUGUGGCCAUAGAUCUUCCCUGCAUUUGAGGGGUGACCAUACAGAGAUUUCUGCAUUUUUAUCUCUAUGCAACGGUGUGGACUUGUCUUUUCUUGAUAAAACCCUAAAGACUAAUUUUCACUGAAUAUUAUGGAUCAAGCAAUAUUCUAUUUAUGAACGCUUUGCUUCAGCCAAAUACAAACUGUUGGACUCAGUGAGCCUCAUGGUCUGCAGUGUAGAAAAUAUUAACCUAGCUUCCAAUUUUAUCCUUGUGGAGGUGAGAAGCCUGGGUUUUCACUGCAACUGAUGAAAAAGAACAGUCCCUUAGGCAGGCAGUUGUUUUCGUCCAUCCCGUGCAUCUGAUUCAGGAUGGGUGAAGCAGCUUUGGGCAGCACUCCCUGCUGAUCCAGGAGGAUGCUGGAGUUAUUUUCCUGAGUCACACCCAGUGCUCCUCCUUCAGUUAUCUGCAAAAUUAGUGUUUCUCAUGCCAGCUCCUUUAAAAUGCAGCUGUCCCUCACAAUACUGUUUUUCUCCUGUCAUUUUUUUCACACUAUUUUCUGUCACAUUUGGCAGCUCCUCGUGCCAGGACUAGCACUUCUCAUCCUGGUCAGCUCGUGCAACGAAAGGCUGAGAUCUAAUCAGUGGCCAAGUCACCUGCCUACGAUCCCAAUGCAAAUGCUCUGGAAAACACAGCUGGAGAGUUAAUGAAUUGGCCAAGCCCCACGUCAGAGCAUGCAAGGCUAGAUGUAACUUGUGCUGGUUUUCAUUUCUCUUUUUCCUGGUGCUGCAAGAGAAGGCAAGGCAGAUCCUUUGCGUGCUCCACAAGAUCUUUGCCUCUCCAAGGAUCCCCCAACAAAUCUCAAUAGGCCCUGUAUGCUUCCCCCUUGGGCAGAGGUGGAAGCCAACGUCCUGGCUCAACGCAUCCAAAAAGGAGCAGUCCUACAGCCAGCAACUUCUCCUUCCACCCUUGCCUAGGGCUGACCCUGUAGCAUUGACCACCUCUUCUGUUGCAAGCAGCUAGAUUUUGGCAUGCUCCUGUAAGGAAACCCUUUUUUCUUUUCCUCUUCUUCUUCUCCUGCAUUUUGAUGGGGCUGGAGAUCUCUCGGAGGAAGACGCUCUUCCCUUUUUAUCAAUUAGGAGCACACACGCGCUCUCUCGCUCCCUCUCCCACCCCUACUCUGCUUUCCUCCCAGCUCCCCUUGGCUGCCGAUUUCAGACAAAGAUGUGUGAGUUCUUUGAUCUGCCUGGCAGCCACCGCUGGGGGAUUGGCUUGGAGGUUAAUUACACACAGGCCGUCUCCAGCUGUGGCAGGAGCCAUUCGGCUGGAGAGGGAGCUGUCCCUUCUCCCCCCUCCAGCUACAAACUUCAAGGGGACAGGAGGGCAAGGAAGGUACCACUGAAACCCCUUUUGAUAUGACAAACGGGCUCCUUGCUUGCCUCUCUGGUUCUUGUUUUGUUUGUCUAACUGGUACUUGAAAUAUGGAUGAGCUCUCAGUCCUGAGGGCCCAGCCACUGUCUUAAAACCAACUGGAGUUUUGCUCUCCUGUCUGUCUUUCUUUGCCUGUCCACGUGUCCUUGUCCAGCAGCCCUCUGCCCACAUACCCAUGACUAAUCCCAGCUCUCAAGGAGAAGCAAAACCUGGACCCUGUGUUUGAGCAGCUGUGCAGAGAUGAGGAGCCUCAUCUGCUGGAGGAGAGAUGAGUUGGUGGCUGCUGCCCGGGAGGUUUGCAUUCUGUCAGUCCUUCUCUCUGUGCCUGAAAUACUCAGAGAUUUUCUUCUGUUUAUUCUUCUCUUAAAGCCACUUAAAUCCCUCUGUGCCUCGGUUUUCCAAUCUUCAUAAUAAAAGCAAAAUACGUUUAUCUGCUCCUCAGGGUUGGAUUGAGGCUGAUUGAUUUGCUUGUCAAACAUCCCAAACUAAAUAGUGUGGCACAAGAGAGCUGUUGGUAUAAUCCCUCUGUAUUAGCAAAAUCCCUCUCAAAAGGAUCUUACACAGAUGCUUCAAGGCAGGUAUAGAUGGAUUUCAGAUGCUUUUCAGUGGCUCCUAGGCAUCUCUCUUGGCCUCUGAACUCUCACAUGAUAUUCAAGUGUGGGCUGGGGUCCCCAUGCAGUGAGAUCUGCAGCUGACAACAGCCUGCAUCCUAAGGACAUCACACAACCUAGACUAGAUCUAUCCAGGAGUGCAAACUCAUAUUUAGAUUUGCACUCCCUUCUGUGCAGACUAAGGGAAAAAUUCAAAUGUUUCUCAUUCAAACAGUGUAUCUGUAGUAGUCAAGAACGACAGUCAGUUUGAUUGCAUGUCAGUGGAAGCCAUCAACUAUUUGCAGCAAAACAUGCCUGUCUUGAGGCCUUGCCUGAAGCCAACAUGCUGUUGUGCUCAUCUGGAUUGUGAGCAGAUCUGGGAGCUAAAAGGCAGAAAGCUCACUUGUGCACAACCAUUUUGCUGACUAGUAGAAAUUUGAGUGCAAGGACCUGUGGGUCUGUAGCAGAAAUGCUAAGUGAUGGCCUGAACCAGUGAUUGAGCACCUGGUGGGAAGGCAGGGCCAACCCAGAGGAGCUCAGGUGCAUGCAAUGUACUGGAGUUACCAGAAGGGGUGGAGACAGGAUCCACUCCUUCCCAGUGCUCAUUUAAGGGUUGGCAAUGAGGGUGAGGAUAUCUUGCUGGAGAUUCCUGCUCCUGGAGGCUUUCUGAAGAUAAACAGCCAGAACUGACACUUUGAAGAUGCUCGACAGCUCCAAGGGAUGAGGCUAGAGGAUACAGGCAUACAGCCCCCAGCUGCAGGCAAGAAGGAACUGAUG